CCAGAUGGCCGGAUGGCCGCCUCGGCGGCGCUUUGGCGCCGACGGGGAGGAAAGUCCGGGCUCCACGGAGACACGGUGCCGGGUAACCCCCGGCGGGGGCGACCCCAGGGAAAGUGCCACAGAAAGCAAACCGCCAACCGGGCUUCGGCCCGCGGCAAGGGUGAAAGGGUGCGGUAAGAGCGCACCGCGCUCCCGGCGACGGGGGCGGCACGGUAAACCCCACCGGGAGCAAGACCAAAUAGGGGCGGCACGCCGGAGCUUGCUCCGGCAGGCGCGUUUCCGCGCCGCCGCCCGGGUAGGUCGCGCGAGGCGUCCGGUAACGGGCGUCCCAGAUGAAUGGCCGUCACCCGCCGUCCGGCGGGGACAGAACCCGGCUUACAGGCCGUCUGGCAUU
rnacentral:RNase_P_RNA from 1 species